UACACUUAUGUAAUGAUGAACUAACUAAACUAAACUAAAAACUCAAUCCGAUUGUUCAAAAACGUACGAAGGAUGGAUGCAUAUACUUGAACCUGUCCGUGAAACAUACUUGACCUUCAUGUGGCAAGAGAUCCUUGUCCAAUAAUUGCAAACGGACCCAGGAUCGUGUGUGGUUAGACUCGAGACAUCAACACGAUAUACUGUUUGAGAAUGCAAUCCCAUGGCUAGUAUUAGGAUUUUCAUGAUUGAAUCUAUCUCAACAGGGUGGGACAGAAAUUUCAAGUGGUGAUUCGAAUACGGAUCCGUAACACCACAAACUAGACGAAUGUCUUACUCUUACUACACAUGUUUCAUCUUUAAGCCUCAUACAAGUGCUAGACAAUAUGGUACCCUAUUAUUAGGGUCCCUAUGAUAUUAUGUUCUUACACUUCUUAAUCAACGACUCGUUCUCAGAACUCCUCCUGUGGCUAGGAAACUAGGUCCCAGACUCCUAGGGCUCCCCCUGCGGCGGACCUACAGUAAAUCCAGUGGUUCGGAUGAGAUAUUGGGAUGAAUUAGAGACUGGUAUUGCAACACAUCGUCGUAGUACUGGCUCGUACGUACUGUCUGGGUUAGGGCUCUACCAGUUUGCGACACAUGGUGUUCACUGAGACCUCUCAGACUUUAGGGUUUGGAUUACGAUGAUCAUUCUGAUAUGGGGCCGUUUAGAACUGCAGCGGUGAAGACGUGAAGUUCCAUGCAUGCAGGGUAGGGGCCCUAUAUCGAUUUGUAUGAGUAUAUGUUGUUGCAGGAUGGAAUGUAUGGAAUGUAAUUAACUAUGGAUGUCCUCCUCAGGUUGUAGGAUGUGUUUGAUUCUCUACUUCAUAAAAUAAACUUAGACCCUUAACCAUUUAUUUGGAAACAAUUUCACUUAUGAUGUAUAACAUAUAUGUGUGUGUUUUGAUCAAUAUGGGUUCUAACGUUAUAUACUGGAACUACUAAAAAUGGAAAUACCUAAUAUAUGUUGGAAAGUCAAUCGUGGUGUAUCUUCUUCUCUAUUAGGAAUAUUCUCUGUUAGGAAUGUAUAUAUGUGUGAACAUAUGUUUCUCAAUAUGAUUCAUAAUUGUAAGAUAGUUUCCUAAGUUAUAUUACAUUGUUCAUUGUAUAUGUAUUCACGUUUUUAUCAAUGAAAUCAUUCUGGUCAAGCUAUUAUCUUUUCAAUAUACUUGAAUAAAAUGGAAAUGUUUGGUGGUCGCAAGAUGCAAAAUUGGCUCAACCAUAGCUAGCUAU
rnacentral:lncRNA from 1 species